rnacentral:miRNA from 1 species
CGCCGCGUGGUAGCAUUAGAAC